UGAUUGUGUGCCUUCUGGCGUAUGUGUGUGUGUAUGUGUAUGCUCUUGCCUGUGUCUUCAAUUGAAUGGCAAUGGUGUUGGAACUGUGUGAUGUCGUGAGAAUAUGAGGGAUGUGAGAAUACGGGGGACGUGAUGAGGGAACGGCUGAGCAUGAUUUGUUCGCCGGUGUGCUCCUUCAGGUCAGGAGGUUCACCACCAGCCACGGGGUUGUUACCACCUGCAGCCAUGCUGCUGCUACUUCUCUCCAUGUUGCACCUUGCCUCAGGGAUGAGCUUCAUGACUCCUGAAGGAGAAGCCACCCAGAGUCCUGGCUCCGCCGGGCUUGGAGGCCUGCUGCACAGCCCCCCACGCAGUAAGAUACAUACCUAUACUACUCAAACUACUAAUACUAUUAGAACCAAUGCAAAAAGUAACACAUAACAGACCUGCUGCACAGCCCCUAAACGGAGUAAGAUAUAUACGUAUAGUAUUCAUACUAGAUCUAAGAUAAUUAUACUAGCUUUGAAGUACUUUACUUAUCCUUGUUAGAGUACUAAUACUAGAUAGCCUACAGUUCAAAACACUACUACAGUACAGUGCACGACUACAUUACAGUACUACAGUAAUACACAGCAAAGUACUACAGUACAGCCCUUCUGAACAGCACAGAGUAUUUCACUAUUGCAUAACAUAUCUACAGUGCUCAGUACUACAUUACAUACUACAGUGCCACAAUACUACAGUACAUCACUCUAGAACUGUACUUCAGUAGAGAGAAUUUCAGUGCUACAUUACAGUACCACUGUACAACAGUAAAGUACUCCAUUAUAGGUACUACAGUAGAGAGUAUUUCAGUGCUACAUUACAGUACCACUGUACAACAGUAAAGUACUCCAUUAUAGGUACUACAGUAGAGAGUAUUUCAGUGCUACAUUACAGUACCACUGUACAACAGUAAAGUACUCCAUUAUAGGUACUACAGUAGAGAGUAUUUCAGUGCUACAUUACAGUACCACUGUUCAACAGUAAAGUACUCCAUUAUAGGUACUACAGUAGAGAGUAUUUCAGUGCUACAUUACAGUACCACUGUUCAACAGUAAAGUACUCCAUUAUAGGUACUACAGUAGAGAGUAUUUCAGUGCUACAUUACAGUACCACUGUACAACAGUAAACUACUCCAUUAUAGGUACUACAGUAGAGAGUAUUUCAGUGCUACAUUACAGUACCACUGUUCAACAGUAAAGUACUCCAUUAUAGGUACUAAAGUAGAGAGUAUUUCAGUGCUACAUUACAGUACCACUGUACAACAGUAAAGUACUCCAUUAUAGGUACUACAGUAGAGAGUAUUUCAGUGCUACAUUACAGUACCACUGUACAACAGUAAAGUACUCCAUUAUAGGUACUACAGUAGAGAGUAUUUCAGUGCUACAUUACAGUACCACUGUUCAACAGUAAAGUACUCCAUUAAAGAUACUACAGUAAAACAGAGGAACACUUCAGUUCAGUGCAUUGCAGUACUGCUACAGCACAGUACCUUAUUACAUGACCACAUCGCUGUAGCACAGUUGUAUUGCCUGAACUGUAUACCCGGGACUGUGAACAACACAAGGUACGACCACGAACCCGACACAGGCGGUUCCUGGGGCUGGCCACCCCCCUGAGACCACCCCCAUCUCCCCUGGAGUGCUCACCACGGCCCUUACCUCAUCCCCGCCCGCCGCGGUUGAGGAGGAGACCACCACAACCUUGAUCACCACCACCACUAUCACCACCAUGCACUCGCCAGGUAACCCACAUUUAAUGUCCCACCAGAGCACUGCUUUGGCAUUAGCUUGCUAGCUUAUUUUCGAGUGUUGCGUUAUUCCUCAACCUAUUCAACACAGAAACAUAUUCUGUUCAUGAAGUAGUUACUUCCUCUACUGCUGAUUUGCUGUUUCUGAAAGCCUAUUUCUCUAUAGUUGGUUAGUUGUGUGAAUAUCAUCCUUUUGUUCACUCACUAAACCUCAGCAGAGUAGUGGGUUUUGUCACUUUACAAA
ensembl:lncRNA